rnacentral:rRNA from 2 species
GACGAACGCUGGCGGCGUGCUUAACACAUGCAAGUCGAACGAUGAUGCCCAGCUUGCUGGGUGGAUUAGUGGCGAACGGGUGAGUAACACGUGAGUAACCUGCCCCUGACUCUGGGAUAAGCGUUGGAAACGACGUCUAAUACUGGAUAUGAUCACUGGCCGCAUGGUCUGGUGGUGGAAAGAUUUUUUGGUUGGGGAUGGACUCGCGGCCUAUCAGCUUGUUGGUGAGGUAAUGGCUCACCAAGGCGACGACGGGUAGCCGGCCUGAGAGGGUGACCGGCCACACUGGGACUGAGACACGGCCCAGACUCCUACGGGAGGCAGCAGUGGGGAAUAUUGCACAAUGGGCGAAAGCCUGAUGCAGCAACGCCGCGUGAGGGAUGACGGCCUUCGGGUUGUAAACCUCUUUUAGUAGGGAAGAAGCGAAAGU